GAGUCUGCAAAGUCGCUGAGGUUCUGGGACAGCGCGGCGUCACCGAGCGUGAGCCUUCCGCCCGGGGACGCGGCCGCCACAGCUCGGGACGCGGGGAGCGCGGCCGGCGCGAGCUCAAGACCCGGCCCGACGUGCUCACUGCGGCAGCGGCGCCUCCUGGACGGGGACCCAGGGCCCGGACCGCGCUCUUCCCGGGGGCGCCGCCGAGCCCUCGUCCCUGCCGGGCCCGGCUGCCGCAGGUGCGUGGGCGAGCGAGGCGGCUGCGUCCGCGGGCCCCGGCGUGGGGUCGGGGGUUGAGUGGGCACGUGGUUCUUUCUGGGGUGACGAGAAGGUCCUACCGUCGUGGGGAUGGUCCUGCCUCUCUCGGUGAAGUUACUCACUCGGAACGGGUGAGCUUUGUGAUACGUGCUCUGCGUUCAGUAGCGCUGUUACAGUCGUAAGUAAAAGCAGUAACGUCAGCGCCGACCCAGCGCAGCCCUCUCCAGACCGGGUGCGGAGCCCGUCACGUCUGCCCCGCCGGCGAGGAGCAGAGCCCGGCAAGAACCCUCCUCCAGAGGGGCCCCGACCAGGGCUGUGCCUCCGGGAGCAGGUGCUGCUUACACAGAGGGACGCCAGGACGGGCAGCCCCACACCUCCAGUGACCUCCCGUCCCCCAGAGCUGAAGACAUGGCCUGACUAAGCGGCGACCACAUCGACGCACCAGUUUUUUCUUUUUUGAAACAGGGUCUCCCUUUGUCGCCCAGGCUGCAGUGCAGUAGCGCGAUCUCGGCUCACUGCAGCCUCUACCUCCCCGGCACAAGCGAUCCUCCAGCCUCAGCCUCCCGAGUAGCUGGGACUACAGGCGCCACCAUGCCCGGCUACCUUUUGUAUUUUUUGUAGAGAUGGCGCCUUGCCAAGUUCCCCAGGCAUUAACCCGGAAACAACCUGGCGGGUCAGGGAGAGCCUCUUCUGCUCAGAGGUCAUUGUGCCCAGACUUGAGCCCUGGCUGUGAAGUCCCUGAGGCCCCUCACUCCAGGGACGGGAAGCACCAAAGAUGUGAUGUUUCCUCCUCGGUUUCUGAGACUGCCUGGAAGCGGGGGGUGGAUAGUGGUGAGCAGCCGUCUCCUCCUUUCCUGAGAACAUAAAUCAGAAACGCUUUCUGAGGCCGGGCACGGUGGGUCAUGCCUGUAAUCCCAGCACUUUGGGAGGCUGAGGUGGGUGGAUCACCUGAGGUCAGGACCAGCUUGGCCAACAUCGUGAUAACCCCCUCUCCACUGAAAAUACAAAAAUGAGCCAGGCAUGUUGGUACGUGCCUGUAAUCCCAGCUACUUAGGAGGCUGAGGCAGAAGAAUUGCUUAAACUCGGGAAACGGAGGUUGCAGUGAGCUGAGAUUGUGCCACUGCACUCCAGCCUGGGCUACAGAGUGAGACUCUUGUCUCAGGAAAAAAAAAAAAAAAAAAGUGCCUCAAAAAUAAACAAUUAAAAAUGUUCUUAUGGUCUUCACAAAAAUAAACUUUUUUAAAAAAGAAAAACAAAGUAAAACGCUCUCCAGACCCAGCCGUGGGCCACUGCUGCCUAGUUCCCACCUCCUGGGACAAGAAAGGGUCAUCCCCUGGCUGAUGAAGAAGUCAGGUUUCUCCCACUGGAGCUGCCCACCACAGCCUGUGGACACAGCCCUGUCCUGGGUUCCUGGGUUCAGGAACCUUUCCAUAGGGUGAGAUCCUUGGAAAGCUGCUGUGCCCUCUGACCUCCCAGCCUCCGAGCAGAAAAGUGUCCCAGGGAACCCAGAUGGGUCUAGGGCAGCAGGCCCAGUGAAGGGAGGGACGGACUCUGGGGCAGCAGGCCCAGUGAAGGGAGGGACGGACUCUGGGGCAGCAGGCCCAGUGAAGGGAGGGAUGGACAGAGGGGUGCCAUCCUCUGGCAUCCAGGCCUUGUGGACCGAGGGGCAGCUGCGUGCACUUACGCAGGGUGUCCUGGGGUCCACCAUGGCCAAGCCAGGCCUGGGCAGGGGCAGGACAC
rnacentral:lncRNA from 1 species